ensembl:lncRNA
AGAAGACAGAGGCAGGCCUGAUGCUGGGGCCCAGGGUUCUUCCCACAGCUGACUUUGGCCUGAGGGCCCCCCACUGCCUUGUGAAAAUUCCGUUAGAUACAACAGCAGCCUAGAUGUUUCCACCACCAUCCUCUCAAUUUUCCAGGCAAAAGUACUGCGUUAUCAAACUGUCAACAGCAGGCAAAAUAACAAUGCGAUGAUGAUCACAGCUGAGAAUUACUGCACACCUGACCAGCACCAGCUCGCCUGGAUUCCUGCAUUCAUUUCUUUAGCCCUCAUCACUGCUAGGAGGCUGGACUUGGAGUCCUGGCUUUUGUCCCCAGAUUCUCUGGAGAGUCCCAGAGAGGACCAUUGCCUGCCAGCCCAGAGCUCCUGGAUGAGUGCCCUCAGAGGCUGCUGCCCAGGGGAGGCACCCAUGGAGCCACCUGCAGCAGGCCGGGACAGACGGGGAACCUGAGUGAGUGACAAGGUCAGCUGGUUUUGGAAGCUCCCUCCGCCCAGAUACAAAGCUGAGAGCUUCACUGAACAUCAUUAAUGUUCCCAGAGGCAGUGCCUGGCAGGGUCUGCUCACUGGAUUUCACGCCUGAGGAAACUGAGGCACCGGGACUUUGUUCAGCUGCUACAUCUGGGCUCUGAUUCGAACUCUGGCCCCGGCUUCCCUGAAGCUACCCGUCACUGCCACAACUUUCCAGCAGGUACCAGAGCCUAACAGGGUUCUUGCCUCUAACAGGCCUUCAGGUGGGAAGAUCGCCACCAGCCAUCACUCCUGUCAUCCGAGUCUCUUCUUCCAGACAAACACCCUCUGUUCCAUCCCUUCUCUGAGGAGAUGGCUGGGACUCCACAUCCCCUGAGUGUGCCAGGAAUUUCCACACUCACUGUCUCGCCAAACUCACAGGCCACAUGCAGACUGCAGACCUAGUUUCUGCCCCAAGGGACACAGGCCGAGCUGGCCCCUGCCGUCCCUCCUGGGCGGCGAGGCUGAGGGCAGGGGCAAGGGAGUGGGAAAUUUCACGUUUCACACAUUUCUGCAUCGACUGAAGCUUUUUUCUGGCUUGUUUUACAACUGUGUAUCUUUUGUAAACUAAGACAGAAAAAUAUUGGCUUUAAAAGUCGUCUAGUGAUUUUAAUGUUAUUUUUAAUUAUUUUAUUCAUUUACUUAUUUACUGUUGUGGUACUAGGAUUGAAUCUAGGGCCUCUGCACUGAGCUGUAUCCCCAGCCCCGUUUUAUUUGUACUGUUUAUUUUGAGACAGGGUCUCGCUAAAUCACGAAGUUCCCCAGGCUGGCCUCAGACUUGCAGUCCUCCUGCCUCAGCCUCCCAGAGUGCUCGGAUUACAGACGUGCACCACCAUGCCUGGCUAAAAGUGCUGUUUAAGUAUUUUUACAACACAAAGUUAGAAUCUGCAGGAAAGCAGGCAGGUAUGCAGCUAAAACUUUCUUCUGAAUGUAAGGAUCAAAUUAAAAUUUUACUCACUCUUUCUCCCUAAAAGGCCACUAUGAAAAAUUGAAAUGCGUGGUUCCCAGCUUCUGCUGCGGCCUGCUGGCAGCCAGUUUUCCACAGGUGUGAUGGACACAGUUCAGUGGCCUCUUAGCACUGUCCUUGGUGAGGGGCACCGUCCCAGUUUGCCAGGUACAUCCAGGCUGUGGGCUGCUGGCCCAGUCCCCCCGCGGUUUACGGAGUUCACCAGAGUGAUCCACAUUUUCUGCCUCCACUGCUGCGGCCGGUGGCAUCACCUUCCUGUGGCGACAGAACACCGAGGGCCCUGCAGAGCAGGACAGGAGUCGCCGGGUUCUUACCACUGAGACUAACCCGGGCUCUGUCUCACCCAAGGUCGUGUCCCGGCACCAGAAUUCGAAGUCGGGCCUCCUUCCCAAACCUCUGCGGGAAGCCACUCGGAAAGGCCUGCCAAAAUGAAAAUGACUCGUGUUGCUCUCUGAGAAAGCAGUUUCUCCUGCAGGAAUGUAUUGCCCCAAUGCACCCAUGUAUCAAAGUGAUCUACGUCUAUGGUUAUUCAUUCUAGCAUUGUUUGCAUUAGGAAAGACUGGAAAUAAUGUAAGAAUCCUUCAAUAAGCAAUAUCCAGGUAAAUUAGGGCACGUGAAUUGGAGUCUAUGUGGCUUUCACAAGAAGGCAGCUGACGGUUAGGCCUGAUGGGGGUGAGCGCUGAGCUGGGGCAUUAGGUAUUAGAGGAGGGAAAUGGUCUGGAGAGGAUGCGUAGUUCGUGGUGUAUGGGGGGGCACUGGUAAAGACUCAUACUCAGAAUGUGCUCUACAGCCUUGGACUCACUCCAGAAGGUGACACCCAGGACAGCAGUGGCCAUGGUCAACAUGUACUCCUACCCCUUUCGUGUCUUCCUGAUGUUGUGCACUGCGCACAUAUUGCCUAUUGGAAUUUUGAAAAGGAGGAAGGGAAAGUCUUCAUCCACAAGACUUGGUCCACAUCCCCCUGGGGCUGAACAGAUGUGCUGCCCAAGAUUGGAACAGAGGUCUCGUCUUCUCUUGCCCACGCCGGGCUCUGUUCUGUGAGACCUUAGGCAGCCUCGGAAUCAGAGUCGGGGACAGCAUAAGUGGUGCCACUUUGGAAGGAAAUCUCGGGUCGCUCUGCCAGCCCCAGGUCUUCAGCCGACUUUCCCAGGCACACCCUCAGUCUCACGGUCCUAUGAGGUGCUUGGCUACCAGGGCAGUGAUGCAAGCAAAAAGGGUCCAGAGAGAGGUGACCAGAGC